rnacentral:rRNA from 1 species
GAUGAACGCUGGCGGCGUGCCUAACACAUGCAAGUCGAACGAAGCUUGACGGAUGAUUUCUUCGGAAUGAAACCAGAUAUGACUUAGUGGCGGACGGGUGAGUAACACGUGAGCAACCUGCCUUUCAGAGGGGGAUAACGGCUGGAAACGGUCGCUAAUACCGCAUGAUGUGUUCGGAUGGCAUCAUCUGAACAUCAAAGAUUUAUCGCUGAAAGAUGGGCUCGCGUCUGAUUAGAUAGUUGGUGGGGUAACGGCCUACCAAGUCUACGAUCAGUAGCCGGACUGAGAGGUUGAACGGCCACAUUGGGACUGAGAUACGGCCCAGACGCCUACGGGAGGCAGCAGUGGGGAAUAUUGCACAAUGGGGGAAACCCUGAUGCAGCAACGCCGCGUGAAGGAUGAAGGUUUUCGGAUUGUAAACUUCUUUUCUUAGUGACGAAGACAGUGACGGUAGCUAAGGAAUAAGCAUCGGCUAACUACGUG